AUGAACGCUAGCGACAGGCCUAACACAUGCAAGUCGAGGGGCAGCACAAGGAGCAAUCUGAGGUGGCGACCGGCGCACGGGUGAGUAACACGUAUGCAACCUGCCUGUAAGCGGGGAAUAACCCGUUGAAAGACGGACUAAUACCGCAUAAUACUAAAUUACUGCAUGGUAAUUUAUUUAAACAUUUAUGGCUUACAGAUGGGCAUGCGCAUGAUUAGCUAGUUGGAGGGGUAACGGCUCCCCAAGGCAACGAUCAUUAGGGGUUCUGAGAGGAAGGUCCCCACACUGGUACUGAGACACGGACCAGACUCCUACGGGAGGCAGCAGUGAGGAAUAUUGGUCAAUGGACGAGAGUCUGAACCAGCCAAGUCGCGUGCAGGAAGAAUGUCCUAAUGGAUUGUAAACUGCUUUUGCAGGGGAAUAAAGUGCAUCACGUGUGAUGUUUUGUAUGUACUCUGCGAAUAAGGAUCGGCUAACUCCGUGCCAGCAGCUGC
rnacentral:rRNA from 1 species